AUUUAGAUUUAAAGUUAGGUAAUCAUGGUGUAAAUCCAUGACUGUGCCGCAACUGUUAAAGUCAGAAAACUAACUUUAUUUAAAUUCCCGAGCAGGAUCUUUUCAUUGUCCUUCUCGGGAGAGAAGGAUUUUUUAUGCCAAUUUAUA
rnacentral:ncRNA from 32 species